GACACAGGUCAGUGAAGGCUACAGAGAAGGUAGCAUUUGUGUUAUAUGUGAAGGUUGAGUAGGAAGUGGUGAGAUGACUUGAAGGGAGGGUAGACGAAAGUCAGUGUGCUCUGAGGGGCAGUUCACCUCCAGGGUCUGAGGCCACCCUGCAAGUUGGAGCAUGAUUGGAAUUUUCUCUCCUGCAACCUGACAAAUGAAGCGCGCUUUGCCAUGAGUCAACUGUUACGGGAAAAGGAAUUCCACAGGCAUGCCCUGACUGACCACAAAUGGGCGAGAGCACAUGUGAGUACAGAAUGCCCAAAGGUUGGUGUGGAAUAAUCAAAACGAUUCAAAUGCUUGGUGCUGUACCAGAGUUGUAGGAGGCCUAGCCUCAGCACUGUACUGCUGCUCUCACUCUCCAACCUGCACUGGAGAGGAAGGUCAACUACAGUAGGUGGAGCUCUGCACCAGGUCCAGAAAGCAGACCUUGAUUCUGCAGCUGACCAUCUUCCUGCUCACUUAAUUCCACCAGCCUCCACUUCUGCUUCUGCACUUAACAGUUACAUUUAUUGAGGACCUCUAUAUCCCAGCCACCGUACUGGGUGAAUUACCUGCCUAGUUUCAUUUUAUUCUCCUGACACCCUGCAAAGAUACAGGUUAAGAUUAAGCUGUUUCUUUCAUGUGAGUCUCAUCACUGAGAUCUGAUUCCACCUACAAAGGCUUUCCUUUAAAGGUGACAAAAGAAUCAGUCAAAAGACCUGCUCAAACUUUCUUCAGCCCAAGUUCUUCAGCAAAAGCUUGGGUCAAUAACAGACCCAAGUUCACAUUGGAGAUGGAAGGCAGGAUAGACUUGAGCAAUUGCUUCUAAGAGCAGUGGAACUGAUGCAUGGCUGUUCACAUGUGAAGUUUUGUUUUUCUCAGAAGGGCAUGAGCUGUCCUACCCUUUAAGAGAAUGUGCAGACAUGAUCGCAAACAGGGUACAAAUGCUGGUCCAUGGAGCAAAGUCUUGGGAGAGUUUACUGACCCAACUGGGUGCAUUGAAAAUGUGCUCAGGGAGUUAUUAUGUCAUGAUCUGUGGAUUAAAUCCUCCCUAAUUAUGCAGUGAUGAAGCAAAGAAGAGUUCCUCACCACAGCUUUGAUGAUGAGAAUUUGGGCUCUUGGAAACAUUCUCAAAGACUUCAGUCAGUCUUGCUCUCUUCUUUCGAAUCAGAUCAAAAGGGGACACAUUUGGGAAAAGUUCUCAAUUCCAGUGAUUCUUUCUCAGCAAGAUUGGAUAAAGUUAGGAAAGAAAGCAAGGGGCUUGGUUAAAAUCAGUGAGGAUCAACUUGUUAUAUUAAUGUAAUGUCAAAUAUUUGUUUGGUUUUUGUGUAUGAUACUGUUAAAUUUAUUUGAUUAUGCAAACUUUAUUUAUUUAUAAGAAAAAUGAAUGUAAAGAUACUAAAUCUGUUACAGAAUGAAACCAAAUCAUGUCUCUUAAUAUUUAUACAAGCAGUGGAAGAAAAUCUCUCUGAUGUCCUUGAAUUUACACUAUGUUUACAUUUCUUUCUUUGAAGCUGUAAUGAAAUCUGGCAUAUAGAUUCUAACUGUGUUUAUGCAGAAUAACUUGAGUGAGAUUUAAGGUCUAAAAAGAAAGUGGGUGUGGAAUAUUUAAAACCCAGAAUCAAAGGCAUCUCUAUUUACGAUAACUUUCAGCUGUAUAAAAACAUUAAGAAAGAUUAUUUAAAUCCAUCUUUUAUUUCAUAAAAUAUUUCAUCAUUGUUCUAA
rnacentral:lncRNA from 1 species